rnacentral:lncRNA from 1 species
AAAGGGCUGUCUGUGCCUGCUUCUCGCCACGGCUGAGUGCCAGUUGUCUUAAAUCCAGUGCUCCUUGAACCCCAGCCGCUCAUGGCUGCUGCGAGGGCCACCCGUAAUGCCUACACCACGAGCUCACCGAGGACCGGGUUUAAACCAGGGCUCCUUGGCCAUUCUCUGGACAUUUGAGCUGCAUCCUUGUCCCUUUCUGCCUCUCUCAAGCCCCCAGAGGUUCAUGGCUCUGGCUCCCUCUGCCCACAGCAGCUGUGUUGUCAACAGGGACAAAGUCACCUUCCUCUGACAAAGUCACCAUGCUCUGAGCAAGUCAAGCCUGUGUUCAUCUUGGGGACAGAGCCCUGUCCAGAGUAUGAAACCACAUGGAGUCCAUAGGAACUCAAUGCCUGCGCAAAGAUAGACUGAAGACUGCUUUGGAGAGGAGAAAAGGGAGAAGAAUUUGACAGCAGGGCUGAGAGGCAUCCCCUGCCAGGAGCUGGCCUGCGUAAGCCCUUGAUGUGAUGCCCCCUCAUCCAACAAGAGCUUUGGAGAGGAUGCAGUGAUGGUUUAAAGUUGCCUAGUAGCUGGAGGGAGAGACUCACCAGAGAUGUGGAGGCUUCUGCAAGGUCGCGGGCUCCAAAGGCUCCUAGUGGAAGCUGCUGAUGAUCCUGUAGCAGGGCACAAAUGCCUUGCUCCAAGAAGUUUCCUGUGUGCUCAGAGACAAGACUUGACUGUGGCGCCUGGGACCGAGCACCGUGCACUGUGGCUCCUUGCACAUGUCAUGCGGCAAGCAGCUCGUUCGUGGCAGGAAUUCGCCUUCUCCGAGGCAGCCGUUCUCUUUGUUUUUCCUCUCACCACAUAGAAGUAAAUGUGUUUGACAUACAAUAAAAAUCACCUGACUUCACUGUGUUGUGGAGUGGACAUGAGGGCCUGAUGAUGGCCACAGGUUGUCAGGAAUUCCUGCAAGAUCACGUAGAAUAGGAACAUUCCUUAUCCUACCUUGACAAAAAUACCUUCCAUGAUGUCGAGCAAUCAGAACACACUCAUCGAAAUUGUCAAUCAGACACGUAUUUUCAGGAGUGAAACCGCCACGUGGGCUGUCCUGAUCUCAGCUUCGGCCUCACUCUGCCAACUCCUCGUAAGGCCGGUGACUGAGCUGCCUGUGGCAGACCACAGGAUGAGCUAUAGACCACACAAUACCCUGUGGGUCACACAGCAGGCUCCAGACUACCCCAGACUACACCCUGCUCUCUAGCUUGCACUGCA